UCGAACGAGUCCACUCUUUCGGGAGUGAGGCGAGUGGCGGACGGGUGAGUAACACGUGAGCAAUCUAUCCCGUUGCGGGGGACAACGAGGGGAAACCCUCGCUAAUACCGCAUGGUCAAGGGGAUCGAUGAUCCUUUUGGGAAACGUGGCCUCUUAACAAUGCUACGGCGGCAGGAGGAGCUCGCGGGCUAUCAGCUAGUUGGUGAGGUAACGGCUCACCAAGGCGACGACGGCUACGGGGUCUGAGAGGACGACCCCGCACAUUGGAACUGAGACACGGUCCAGACUCCUACGGGAGGCAGCAGUGGGGAAUAUUGGGCAAUGGCCGAAAGGCUGACCCAGCGACGCCGCGUGUGGGAGGAAGCCCUUCGGGGUGUAAACCACUGUCAGGAGGGACGAAAGAGUCGGGGGUGAAUAAUCCUCGGCAGUGACGGUACCUUCAAAGGAAGCACCGGCUAACUCUGUGCCAGCAGCCGCGGUAAUACAGAGGGUGCAAGCGUUG
rnacentral:rRNA from 1 species